ACCAGCAGCACCGUGUGUCCCUGAGUGCUUCUCUGAGAAUUGGACUGGGAGGGAAGGCAGGAGCAAAGAGCAGCUGGAACCAGAGGCCAGAGGGGAUAAAUUUAUACCCUGAGGCUCCUCGGGGUGAACUGGGCCCUGGGGACAGUCUGGGGGAAAGCUGGAGUCAGAGAGAGACCUGGAAGCCCAGGGACCCAGAAUAUCACUGCUUGAGCACCUACUGUGUGUCCUGCUUAGACCAGACACUUUCCAUCAGCACUCUCAUUUCAUCCUGCCUUCUGAGGCUGGUGUCUCUGUCCUUAUUUUAUGCACAAGAGGGCUGAGGCUCAGGACACCAGAUGGAUCAAACUUAACCAACAGCAGCGCUGGGAUUUGAACCCAGGUAGCUAAAGCUGCCAGCUGCUCGCCUGUGGAUCAGGAGGCGUGGCUGAGAAUAAACAGGCACGGAGCACAUCCUUGAGUAUUUCCUUACCCAAUCAACUAAUAUUUAUUUGGAAGCCCACUCCACGCCAGGAACCAGUCUAGAUCUUGGAGAUGCAGUAGUAGAAGAAACAGACCAAGGACCGUAAUUGAGUAAAUGGAUGAAAUAACUGGACGUUUUGGAUAGCGAUCAUGACUAUAAAGAAUUAGAACUGUGAUGACUGAUGUAGCAGAGAAGGAGCAGUGCAGGUUGGGGACAGUCUGGCUCCAGAAAGCCAGUCCCGAUGCACGGGCAGUAUCAGCCUGCUCUGUGGCAGGCUCCAUGCUGGGGCACCCACCCACGCAGGCGGAUGGUGUGGACAAUGCUGGGUGCUCCAACAGUCCAGCCACCCCUGCAGAAAGAGAACUUCGGAUUCGCAGGUGUUUUCCAGAAGACUCAGAGCCGAUUUCACUCUGAUUGGUACAGAUUGGGUCACAUGACCUACCCUUAGCCAAUCACUGGCCUGAGGCGGCAGAAUUCCUAUUGCUCACAUCUGUGCAAGGGCCCACUGCUAACGCUAGGGGUGGGGCAACCUCGGUCCGGGUCAUUUGAAUUAAGGGGGAUGUGGCUCUCCAGUAGAACAGUGGUGAGCUGGGAAAGAAGAGGUAGGGGCGCACCAGAGCACUCAGGAAUACAGCUCUUCCAAGCCCCCCUGUCUUUCUAGUCAUCGCAUAUUGCCUGUUUUAUUCUGUCAUUCCAUUGGCAUAAAGACAUUUCUCUCAUUUAUAAGAGAAAUAAACCUCUCUUGACCCCGCCCACUUUUCUACUCAUUCCAGUUGUACAUCUCUCCUCCUCUCUUGACCUUGAUUGGGCUUGUGUCCGCACCUUAAAAAGCUCAUGUCAAGGGAGCUGAUGUCCUCCUCCUCACCAGAUCUGGUGGCAAGCCUCAGUCCUCACCUCGCACCCACCUGAGUGCUCUUGCCUCCUUGCCACUGCCUUUCAGUUUUUCUCCUGCCUCGCUGGCUUCUGUUCUGCCUCUCCUGCUGAUUCUCCCUCUUUCUGUCUUUAAAUGUUGGGAGGGGGGUGAUGGUUGGUCUCAGACAGACCCACUAAUCUCUUAGCAGUCUGAACCUCUGCUAAUCAUCUGUUUCUGCUCUCAGCCUGACACUUCAGGUCCAGUCACUCUCUCACCCCAGGGUCUUUGCAUUUGCUCUUCCAUCUGACUUAGACACUCUUUCCCCAAAAUAUCCGUGUGGUUCACUCUUUUCAGUCUAUGUUUACAGUGUUGCCUUUCCUGACCUCCUCACUAUUUAAAGCUAUGACCUCUUUAUUUCUUACACCUCUACCUUCCCUUCCCUGCUUUUUACCCUCAACUGUUCUGAUCACCAGCUUGCCUACUAUGUAUUUGAUCUAUUGCUUUGGUGUCUGUCUGUCCACUGAAUAUAAGAGCAGAGAUAACCUCUUUCUGUUCACUGCUGACUUCUAGCACUUAGGAGGGAACUCAGAACAUAAUAGGUUCUCAGUGGUAUUAGUUGAAUGAAUGCACAAGUACCCAAAGUGGUUAUAUUCCCUUUCAAGGAGCUAGAAAUACAAAACUGAGGAGGAGGAGGACUGCAAGCAGGCCUCUUUCCAAGAUGGAUGGCCUGGGGAGAGGACAGGCCAGCUGUAGAGACCAGAAACCCAUAAGACCCAGCCAUUGCUGGCAGGCAGGCAGGGGAGAGGUGGGAGCAGCACCAAGGCUUGGUGUGCAAGUAGUGGUAUCUGGGUAGCCCUAUUGAAGGGGAAGGGUUUGCUGAACACAUUAUCAUGUGCCAUGUUCCUUAGCCUUCACCAUAAACUACAAGGCGGGAAUUAUUAGUCUUUCUACCAUUAAAAAAAUGGAGGCUUAGAGAGAGAAAGCAACAGAAUGAUCAGACAACCUCUUGGCUUACACAUACCACCACACUGCUUUAUUUUUUACCUUGUCUUGAUCCAAAUAGGUUUAAGGUGACUAUCAAAAUAAUGAAUUAAACUUGUGAAUGU